UGGGGAAUUUUGGACAAUGGGCGCAAGCCUGAUCCAGCAAUGCCGCGUGCAGGAUGAAGGCCUUCGGGUUGUAAACUGCUUUUGUACGGAACGAAACGGUCUUUUCUAAUACAGAAGGCUAAUGACGGUACCGUAAGAAUAAGCACCGGCUAACUACGUGCCAGCAGCCGCGGUAAUACGUAGGGUGCGAGCGUUAAUCGGAAUUACUGGGCGUAAAGCGUGCGCAGGCGGUCUUGUAAGACAGUCGUGAAAGCCCCGGGCUUAACCUGGGAACUGCGAUUGUGACUGCAAGGCUAGAGUGUGUCAGAGGGGGAUGGAAUUCCGCGUGUAGCAGUGAAAUGCGUAGAUAUGCGGAGGAACACCGAUGGCGAAGGCAAUCCCCUGGACCUGUACUGACGCUCAUGCACGAAAGCGUGGGGAGCAAACA
rnacentral:rRNA from 1 species